rnacentral:rRNA from 1 species
UACGGAGGGGGCUAGCGUUGUUCGGAAUUACUGGGCGUAAAGCGCACGUAGGCGGCUGUUCAAGUCAGAGGUGAAAGCCUGGAGCUCAACUCCAGAACUGCCUUUGAAACUAGACAGCUUGAAUCAUGGAGAGGUGAGUGGAAUUCCGAGUGUAGAGGUGAAAUUCGUAGAUAUUCGGAAGAACACCAGUGGCGAAGGCGGCUCACUGGACAUGUAUUGACGCUGAGGUGCGAAAGCGUGGGGAGCAAACAGG